UGAGAGGAGAACCUUUGGGACUCUGAGU
rnacentral:piRNA from 1 species